ACCUCCCUACCCCCCACCGCCCCACCCCCUGUGGUCUGCCCUACACUGCACUGUGGCCAGUGCUCCAGGCCUGUUUGGUGUGGACAUGGUGGUGACCCGUGUCAAGGACCAGAAUGGAUCACAGAUGAUCGUUGGCCAACAGGUGGCAGAAGAGGAAUUCCUGCCUUCCUCAAGAGGAACACCUACCCCUUGGCUAAUGCUGGGGUCGGAUUUUGAUUUAUAUUUAUCUUUUGGAUGUCAGUCAUACAGUCUGAUUUUGUGGUUUGCUAGUGUUUGAAUUUAAGUCUUAAGUGACUGUUAUAGAAAUGUAUUAAGAGGCUUUAUUUGUAGAAUUCAUUUUAAUUACAUUUAAUGAGUUUUUAUUUUGAGUUCCUUAAAAUUCCUUAAAGUUUUUAGUUUCUCUUUACAAAUUCCUUAACCUUUUGGCAGUAGAUAGUCAAAAUCAAAUCAUUUCUAAUUUAAAAAAAAUGUGCUGAUUAUUUUCUUUGAAAUUGACUUAACUACUUUCCUUUGGAUUUUGAAGAGUCUGUAGCACAGACACAGUUAAAAAUUUAACUUCAUGAUCUAAUGUAAAAAAGAGUGUUUGAAGGUUUACACAGGUCCAGGCCUUGCUUUGUUCCCAUCCUUGAUGCUGCACUUAUUGACUAAUCACCUACUUACCAGGCAGGAAACUUGAAUUGCUGUGGUCUGGUGUCCUCUAUUCAGACUUAUAUUGGAGUAUUAAUGUCCACAUUUCAAUUUUUUGUUGUAUCCUGCCUGCCUAGCAUCCGGUUCCUCCCCAGCCCUGCUCCCAGCAAACCCCCCUAGUUUAGCCCCAACCCUUCUCCCACCCCGCCCCAGCCCUGCCCCAGCCCCUGCCCCAGCCCCGCCCCAGCCCCAGCUCCAGCCCCCUAAGCCCCCAGCCCCGGCCCUAGUCCUAGUUCCUCAGUCCCGCCCAGCUUCUCUGGAAAGUCACUCUAAUUUUCAUUGAUUCAGUGCUCAAAAUAAGUUGUCCAUUGUUUAUCCUAUUAUACUGGGAUAUUCUUUUUACCCUUGGCAUCGCUGAUCUUCAGUACUGACUCCUUGACCAUUUUCAGUUAAUGCAUACAAUCCCAUUUGUCUGUGAUCUCAGAACAGAAUUUCUUUACUCGGUACGUUAAAGUUAGGGAAUGUCAAUUGAGAGCUUUCUAUCAGAGCAUUAUUGCCCACAAUUUGAGUUACUAAUCAUUUUCUCAAUCCCCUGCCCUUAAAGGAGAAACCAUUUCUCUGUCAUUGCUUCUGUAGUCACAGUCCCAAUUUUGAGUAGUGACCUUUUAUUGUGUACUGUUGGCCACCUAAAACUCUUUGCAUUGAGUAAAAUUCUAAUUGCCAAUAAUCCUACCCAUUGGAUUAGACAGCACUCUGAACCCCAUUUGCAUUCAGCAGGGGGUCUCAGACAACCCGUCUUUUGUUGGACAGUUAAAAUGCUCAGUCCCAAUUGCCAUAGCUUUGCGUAUUAAACAAAGGCACCCUACUGCGCUUUUUGCUGUGCUUCUGGAGAAUCCUGCUGUUCUCGGACGAUUAAAGAACAAAGUAGUAAUUGCUAAUUGUCUCACCCAUUAAUCUUGAAGGCUACCAGUCGCCCUUGCAUUUGCCUUGAGGCAGUGCUGACUACCUGAGAUUUAAGAGUUUCUUAAAUUAUUGAGUAAAAUCCCAAUUAUCCAUAGUUCUGUUAGUUACACUGUGGCCUUUGCAAACAUCUUUGCGUAACAGCAGAGGGACUCAUCCUUAGAGCCCCUUCCCUUGGAAUAUUAAUGGAUACAAUAGUAAUUAUUCAUGGUUCUGCCUAACAAAAGAGACCCACUUAUAUGUAUGCCCUUAUCAUUGCUCCUAGGUAGUGUGAACUGCCUACCACCUGGCAUUAAUAUGUAAAACACUAAUUGCCUAUGGUCCCACUCGUUAGUCUAGGAUAUCCCCUUUGCCAUUGCUGCUGAGUUCUGACUACCCAAGUUUCCUUCUCUUAAACAGUUGAUAUGCAUAAUUGCAUAUAUUCAUGGUUCUGUGUAAUAAAAAUGGAUUCCCACCCCAUCCCACCUUCUGUGGGAUAUUGCUAACGAGUGCAGAUUAUUCAAUAACAGCCUUUGGACAGUUAAUUUGCACAGUUGCAAUUGUCCAGAGUCCUGUGCAUUAGAAAGGAACUCUGGACUCUGUAUCCUAUUUGCAUGUUACAAUGUGGGCUGAUCACCCAAGGACUCUUCUUGUGCAUUGAUGUUCAUAAUUGUGUUUGUCCACGAUCUUGUGCACUAACCCUGCCACUCCCUUUGUAUUCCAGCAGGGGAUCCUUACUACUUAAGACCUCUGUACUAGGACAGUUUAUGUGCACAAUCCUACGUGAUUAGAACUGAGUCUUUUAUAUCAUGGUCCCUGCAUCAUCUUUGCUUUACAUCAAGAGGGUGCUGGUUACCUAAUGCCCCUCCUCCAGAAAUUAUCGAUGUGCAAAAUGCAAUUUCCCUAUCUGCUGUUAGUCUGGGGUCUCAUCCCCUCAUAUUCCUUUUGUCUUACAGCAGGGGGUACUUGAGACUGUUAAUGCGCAUAAUUGCAAUUAUGGUCUUUUCCAUUAAAUUAAGAUCCCAACCCUCUUAGCAUUACAGUAGAGGGUGCUAAUCACAAGGACUCUUCUUUUGUACUGUUAAUGUGCUACUUGCAUUUGUCCCUCUUCCUGUGCACUAAAGACCCCACUUACUUCCCUUGUGCUCAGGAGUGGAUGACCUCUACUGAAGACCUUUGCACUAGGAUAGUUAAUGUGAACCAUGGCAGUUGAUCACAGCAAUGUCUUUCAGAUCAGAUCCAUUGUACCCUCCUUGUUUUACAGCAAGGGAUAUUAAUUACUCAUGUUACCUUUCCCUGGGACUAUGAAUGUGCAAAAUUCCAAUGUUCGUGGUCUCUCCCUUUAAACCAAUAUUCUACCCCUUUUAUAUUUUAUAAAGGGAUGCUGGCAACCCAAAGUCCUUCUCUUGAGACUCUUAAUGUGUAUAUUUCUAAUUGUCCACGACUCUUAAUGUGCGUAUUUUCAAUUGUCUAUGGUCCCUCCCAAUAAGCUAAUAUCUUGACUUCUCAGUAUCAUAGCAGGGGGUACUGAUUUCCUGAAGUCUUUCUUGAACUUCCAGUGUGCACAAUUGCCCUGAGGCCGGGUGUGGUGGCUCACACCUGUAAUCUCAGCACUUUGGGAAGCUGAGGUGGGAGGAUUCCUUAAGGCCAGGAGUUUGAGACCAGCCUGGCCAACAUUAAAGAAAAAUAAAGUAAAACAGUUGCCCUGGAAUCCCAUCCCCCUCACCCCUCCUUGGCAUAGCAGCAGGAGUGCUAACUAGCUAGUGCUACUUCUCCUAUACUGCUUAAAUGCGCAUAAUUAACAGUAGUUGAUGUGCCCCUGUGUUAGAGUGGAAUUCCCGCUUCCUUGCUCCAUUUGCAUUACUGCAGGAGCUUCUAACUAGCCUGAAUUCAUUCUCUUGGACUGUUAAUGUGCAUACUUAUAUUUGCUCCUGUACCUUUUUAUCAUGUAAGGACUCCACCCACUCUAUUUACAUCCCAGCGGGAAGUACCUACUACUUAAGACCCUUCGACUAGUAAAGUUAGCAUGCAUAAUCUUAGUUGUUAGAUAUACAUUUUCAUUUGUACACAGCUGUGCCUUUUAUCAGGACUCCUGUACUUAUCAAAGCAGAGAGUGCUAACCAACAUUAAGUCCUUCUUCGGACUGUAGAUGCAUGUAAUUGCAGUUGUCAAUGGUCCUUCAAUUAGACUUGGGUUUCUGACCUUUCACACCCUCUUUACUUUAUUGCAUGGGGUACUAUUCACUUAAGGCCUCUUUCUCAAACUGUUAAUGUGCCUAAUGACAAUUACAUUAGGAUCCUUCCUUUUGAAGGACAGCAUGGUUGGUGACACCUAAGGCCCCAUUUCUUGGCCUCUCAAUAUGUGUGACUGUAUUUGUCCAGGUUGCUACGCACUAGAGAAGGAAAGUGCUCCCCUCAUCCCCACUUUUCCCUUUCAGCAGGAAGUGCCCACCCCAUAGGACCCUUUUAUUUAGAGAGUCUAGGUGCACAAUUGUAAGUGACCACAAACAGGCCUCUUGGACAUUAAUGUGCGUAAUCGCACACUGCUCAUUCCAUGUGAAUAAGGUCCUACUCUCCGACCCCUUUUGCACUACAGAAGGGGUGCUGAUAACCAAGUUCCCUUUUCUUGGCAUGUUAUAUGUGAUUAUAAUUGUCUGGGAUCCUAUGCACUAGAAAAGGAGGGUCCUCUCCGCAUACCUCAGUCUCACCUUUCCCUUCCAGCAGGGAGUGCCCACUCCAUAAGACUCAAAUUUGGACAGUCAAGAUGUGUAAUUGUUAAGUGAACACAACCAUGCACCUUAGACAUGGAUGUGCAUAACUACACACAGCUCAUCCUAUCUGAGUAAAAUCCUACUCUCAGACCCCUUUUGCAGUACAGCAGGGGUGCUGAUCACCAAGGCCCCCUUUCCUGGCAUGGUAUGCAUGCGAUUAUGUUUGUCUUGGUUCCUGUGUACCAGAUGUGGAAGCCUCCCCCGCCACACCCCCACCCCAAUCUUCCUUUCCCUCCGGCAGGGAGUCCCUGUUCCAUAAGACCCUUACAUUUGGACAAUCAAGGUGCACAAUUGUAAGUGACCACAGGCAUGCACCUUGGACAUUAAUGUGCAUAACUGCACGCGGCCCAUUUCAUCUGAAUAAGGUUCUACUCUCAGACCCCUUUUGCAGUACAGCAGGGGUGCUGAUCACCAGGGCCCCUUUUCCUGGCCUGUUACGUAUGUGAUUAUAUUUGUCUGGGUUCCUGUGUGUUAGACAUGGAAGCCUCCCCUGCCACACCCCACCCCCAACCUUCAUUUCCCUUCCGGCAGGGAGUGCCCCCUUCGUAAGACGCUUACAUUUGGGCAGUCAAGGUGCACAGUUGUAAGUGACCACAGGCACGCACCUUGGAUAUCAAUGUGUGUAACUGUACAUUGCCCAUCCCAUCUGAAUAAGGUCCUACUCUCAGACCCCUUUUGCAGUACAGCAGGGGUGCUGAUCACCAAGGCCCCUUUUCCUGGCCUGUUAUGUGGGUGAUUAUAUUUGUCUGGGUUCCUGUGUAUUAGAGAAGGAAGCCUUUCCCCCCCUCCGUCCCCACUCCCAGUCUUCCUUUCCCUUCCAGCAGGGAGUACCCUCUCCAUAAGACCAUUACAUUUGGACAAUCAAGGUGCACAAUUGUAAGUGACCACAGCCAUGCACCUUGGACAUUAAUGUGCAUAACUGCACAUGGCCUAUCUCAUCUGAAUAAGGUCCUACUCUCAGACGCCUUUUGCAGUACAGCGGGGGUGCUGAAUCACCAGGGCCCGUUUUCCUGGCCUGUUAUGUGUGAUUAUAUUUGUCCUGGUUUCUGUGUAAUAGACAUGAAAGCCUCCCCUGCCACACCCCACCUCCAAUCUUCGUUUCCCUUCCAGCAGGGAGUGUCCACUCCAUAUACCCUUACAUUUGGACAAUCAAGGUGCACAAUUUUAAGUGACCACAGGCACGCACCUUGGACACUAAUGUGCGUAACUGCACAUGACCCAUCCCAUCUGACUAAAGUCCUACUCUUAGAUCCUUUUUGCAGUACAGCAGGGGUGCUGAUCACGAGGGCCCCUUUUCCUGGCCUGUUAUGUGUGUGAUUACAUUUCUUCCAGUUCCUGUGUAAUAGACAUGGAAACCUCCCCUGCCACACUCCACCCCCAGUCUUCCAUUACCUUCCGGCAGGGAGUGCCUGCUCCAUAAGACCCUUACAUUUGGACGAUCAAGGUGCACAAUUGUAAGUGACCACAACCACGCACCUUGGACAUAAAUGUGUGUAACUGCACAUGUCCCAUCCCAUCUGAAUAAGGUCCUACUCUCAGACCCCUUUUGCAGUACAGUAGGGGUGCUGAUAACCAAGGCCCCUUUUCCUGGCCUGUUAACUUAUGUGAUUAUAUUUGUCUGGGUUCCAGUGUAUAAGACAUGGAAGCCUCCCGUGCCCCACCCCACCCCCAAUCUUCCUUUUCCUUCUGGCAGGGAGUGCCCGCUCCAUAAGAACCUUACAUUUGGACAGUCAAGGUGCACAAUUGUAAGUGACCACAGCCAUGCACCUUGGACAAUAAUGUGUGUAACUGCACACGGCCUGUCUCGUCUGAAUAAGGUCCUACUCUCAGACCCCUUUUGCAUUACAGCAGGGGUGCUGAUAACCAAGGCCCAUUUUCCUGGCCUGUUAUGUGUGUGAUUAUAUUUGUCCAGGUUUCUGUGUACUAGACAAGGAAGCCUCCUCUGCCCCACCCUGCCUACCUGUAAUCUUCCUUUUCCUACCAGCAGGGAGUGCUCACUCCAUAAGACCCUUACAUUUGGACAAUCAAGGUGCACAAUUGUAAGUGACCACAACCAUGCAUCUUGGAAAUUGAUGUGCAUAACUGCACACGGCUUAUCCUAUUUGAAUAAGGUCCUACUCUCAGACUCCCUUUGCAGUAUAGCUGGGGUGCUGAUCACUAAGGCCUCUUUUCUUGGCUUGUCUGUAUUCUUGUGUACUAGCUAAGGAUGCCUUCUCAUGGACUCCCUUUGCUUUUCAAGAAGGAGUACCCACUACUUUAAGAUUCUUACAUUUGUCCAAAGUACAUGGUUUUAAUGGACCACAACAAUGUCCCUUGGACGUUAAUAUAUAUAAUCACCACAUGGUUCAUCCUGAAUAAACAAGGUCCUACCCUCUCACCCUCCAUUUGCAGUAUACCAGGGUUGCUGACCCCUAAGUCCCCUUUUCUUGGCUUAUUGACAUGCAUAAUUGCAUUUAUGUGGGUUCUUGUGCCCUAGACAAGGAUGCCCCACCUCUUUUCAUAGUGGGUGCCCACUCCUUAUGAUCUUCACAUUUGAACAGUUAAUGGGAAUAAUUGCAGUUGUCCACAACCCUAUCACUUCUAGGACCAUUGCACCUCUUUUGCAUUACUGUGGGAUACACUGCUUGCCUGCAAGGCCCCUUCUGGUGGACUAUCAACAUACAUAAUUGAAAUUUUCUUUUGUGUUUGUCAGUAGAUUAAAGUCAUGCCCCAUCACCUUUCCUUUGUAGUACAGCAGGGUGUCCUGAUCAACCAAAGUCCUGUUAUUUUGGACUGUUAAUAUGCGCAAUUACAUUUGCUCCUGGUCUGUGCACUAGACAAGGAUCCUACCUACUUUCUUAGCGUUUUUAGCAGGUAGUGCCCACUACUCAAGACUCUUUCACUUGGAAUGUUCAUGUGCACAAACACAAUUCUCUAAGCAUGUUCCUGUACCACCUUUGCUUUAGAGCAGGGGGAUGUUAUUCACUUAGUGCCCCUUCUCUUGGACUUAAUAUGCAUUAAUGCAAUUGUCUACCUCUUCUUUUAGACUAAGACUUGAUCUCCACAUACUCCCCUUGCAUCAGGGGCAUGUUAAUUAUGAAUGAACCCUUUUAAUAUUAAUGUCACAAUUUUAUUUGUGGACCUGUGUAGUAGAAAAAGACCCUAUGUUCCUUCUACUACCCUUUGGAUUGCUGCUGAAAAGUGCUAACUACUCAUAGUCUCAGCUCUUGGACAAUUAAUAUGCAAUAAUAACAAUUAUCAAGGGCACUGAUCAUUAGAUAAGACUCCUGCCUCCUCAUGCAUACAUCAGGGGUACUGACCCACUAAGGCCCCUUGUACUGUUAAUGUGAAUAUUUGCAAUUAUACAUGUCUCCUUCUGUUAGAGUGGGAUAUUAUGCCUUAGUAUCCCCUUUGCCUUACUGCAGGGGCUGCCGACUACUCAAAACUUCUCCUGGGACUGUUAAUAGGCACAAUGGCAGUUAUCAAUGGUUUUUUCCCUCACUGAUCUUGUUAAGCACCCCACCCCACUCUUAGUUUCCCAUGGCAUAAUAAAGUAUAAGCAUUGGAAUAUUCCAUGCACUUGUCCAUCAAACAGUGGACCAUACUCCCACCCCUUUUGCAUUGCACCAGUGUGUAAAAUCACAGUUAGCCAUGGUGUCAUGCUUUAUGUACGAAGUCUUCCCUCUCUGCCCCUUGUGUGCCCUUGGCCCCUUUUUACAGACUAUUGCUCACAAUCUUAGGUAUCCAUAUAUCCAGAUAUUAGAUAAGAUUGUGCUCUCUCCCUCCUCCCUUCCCCCUGCCCUGCCCCAUUUGCCUCUUUGCUGGGUAAUCUUGACCGGACAAGACCCUUUCUCUUGGACUUAAAAAAUACUCAGUUGCACUUUCCUUGGUCCCACCCAUUAUACAUGAACCCUUCUACUUCCUUUUGCAUUGCUUCUGAGUAUGCUGACUACCCAAAGCCCCUUCUGUGUUCUUAAUGAACACAGUACUGAUUGUCCCAUUUUUCAGCCCAUCAGUCCAAGAUCUCCCUACCACUUUGGUGUGUGCAGUGUUGACUAUGAAAAGCAGGCCUGAACUAGGUGGAUAAGCCUUCAUUCAUUUUCUUUCAUUUAUUAAUGAUCCCAGUUUCAAUUAUUGUCAGAUUCUGGGGACAAGAACCAUUCUUGCCCACCUCUGUUACUGCUUUACUGUGCAAAAUACUCAAGGCAAGUCAGACCCAGGGAGCUGGUUUGCCAUCCUUUAUUUUGUGUUUCCAGUAUACACUAUCAAAUUGUCUCGCAGGAAGGAAGGUUGGCACUUUCUCUGCAUUCUUUCCAGAGCAGAUUGUCUGAUUAAGAAUCUCUUGUUGUCCCCUUUGUAUAUUGUUAUUGUAAAGUGCCAAAUGCCAGGAUACAGCCAGAAAAAUUGCUGUUAUUAUUAUUUAAAAAAAAUUUUUUAAGAAAGACAUCUGGAUUGUAGACUGGACUCAGUAACCUGGUCAUUAUUUUUUUGAAGCCAAAAAAUCCGUUUAUACUAUGUACCUCAUGACCAGUGUCUCAUUUUAACUGAGGGUGGUGGGUCUGUGGAUAGAACACUGACUCUUGCUAUUUUAAUAUUAUCAAAGGCGUUCUAGAGUGGAACUCUUAAGACCAGUAUCUUUGUGUGGGCUUUACCAGGAUUCAUUUUUAGAAAAACUACCUAAAUUUUAUAAUCCUUAAAUUUCUUCGUCUGGAGCACCUGCCCCUACUUAUUUCAAGAAGAUUGCAGUAAAACGAUUAAAUGAGGGAACAUAUGCAGAGGUGCUUUUAAAAAGCAUAUGCCACCUUUUUUAUUAAUUUGUCUAUUAUAUAAAAUGAAGCAUUUAAUUAUACUGAUAAUUUGAAGUAGUUCGAAGUACCACACUGAGGUGAGGACUUAAAAAUGAUAAGACCAGUGUCCUAUUUUAUAAGAAAAAUAAGCCAAAAUUAAAUAUUCUUUUGGAUAUAAAUUUCAACAGUGAGAUAGCUGCCUAGUGGAAAUGAAUAAUAUCCCAGCCACUAGUGUACAGGGUGUUUUGUGGCAAAGGAGUAUGUAACAUGGAACUGCUCAAGCAAAUAACUAGUCAUCACAACAGCAGUUCUUUGUAAUAACUGAAAAAGAAUAUUGUUUCUCUGAGAAGGAUGUCAAAAGAUCGGCCCAGCUCAGGGAGCAGUUUGCCCUACUAGCUCCUCGGACAGCUGUAAGAAGAGUCUCUGGCUCUUUAGAAUACUGUAAGUACUACUUUGUAGCUAUUAAGUAAUCUUUUUCCUAUUCUAUUUUCUUCUCUUAGAUGCCACCUAUAGAAAAGUCAGAGGGUCCAGAAUGAAUUUAGAGGUGAUUCUGUACCUUAACUCAAGAGGAAGGAUGGCUUGCUUUUAGGUGGAUUGAUUCUGCUAGAUAGCAUCCAAAGGAUUCCACUGAAGAUACCAUGCUGCAUGUGUCCUUAGUAGUCGUGUCUCCUUAGGCUCCUCUUGGACAUUCCGAGCAUGUGAGACCCGAGGACUGCAAACAGCUGCAAGAGGCUUCAAAUUCAGCAUAUCAUUCCUUUUGAGAAUCUGGCCAAGCUCCAGCAAAUCUACUUGGAUGGGUUGCCAGCCACCUGGAGAAAAAGAUCUUCCUCAGAAGAAUAGGCUUGUUGCUUUACAGUGUUAGUGAUCCAUUCCCUUUGACGAUCCCUAGGUGGAGAUGGGGCAUGAGGAUCCUCCAGGGGAAAAGCUCACUACCACUGGGCAACAACCCUAGGUCAGGAGGUUCUGUCAGGAUACUUUCCUGGUCCCAGAUAGGAAGAUAAAGUCUCAAAAACAACCACCACACGUCAAGGAGAACAUGGACAACUGUCACAUCAGUGACACUGAUCACAUGGGCAAAUCAUUCUGUUCCAUCUGGUCCCCAAAGUCUCUCUUAAAGCCUUACAGAAGAACUUUGCCAAUCAUUUACAUACUUCGGGAUGGCUUGGGAUGCCAUGGGAUAUAAUACGACAAGUGAGAGCUCUUCAUUGUUCCUAUCUGCCAAAUAAUUACACUUCCUACAAGCAGUGCAGAGAACUGAGUCUUCAGCAGGUCCAAGAAAUUUGAACACAUUGAAGGAGGUCAGCCUUCCUACCUGAAGAUCAACAUACUUGGCACUCUAGCACUUUAGGAUAGCCGAAUGAAUGUGUAUUUCUUUGUCUCUUUCUUCCUUGUCUUUGCUCUUUGUUCUCUAUCUAAAGUGUGUCUUACCCAUUUCCAUCUUUCUCUUGCUACUUUCUUUCGUGUGCGCCUUUGCCUCAUUUUCUCUUUUUGUUCACAAGACUGGUCUGUGCCUUGUCUUAGACGUAUCUCUCAUUUUUCCUUUUGUUGCUGUUUCUCUUUGCUCUCCUAGAUGUGGCUCUUCUUUCACGCUUUAUUUCAUGUCUCCUUUUUGGGUCACAUGUGUGUGCUUUUUGUCCUUCUGUUGUUCUGUCUACUUCUCCUUUCUCUGCCUACCUCUCUUUUCUCUUUGUGAACUGUGAUUAUUUGUUACCCCUUCCCCUUCUUGUUCGUUUUAAAUUUCACCUUUUUUCUGAGUCUGGCCUCCUUUCUGCUGUUUCUACUUUUUAUCUCACAUUUCUCAUUUCUACAUUUCCUUUCUGCCUCUCUUGGGCUAUUUUCUCUCUUUUUCCUCCCCUGUGUGCCUCAGCAUCUCUUGCUGUUUGUGAUUUUCUAUUUCAGUAUUAAUCUCUGUUGGCUUGUGUUUCUUCUCUGCUUCUUCCCUUUCUACUCACCUUUGAGUAUUUCAGCCUCUUCAUGAAUCUAUCUCCCUCUCUUUUAUUUCAUGUAAUCUUCUCUCCUUAAAUAUUUCUUUGCAUAUGUGGGCAUGUGUACGUGUGUGUGUGUCACGUGUGGCAGAGGGGCUUCUUAACCUCUGCCUGAUAGGUGCAGAACGUCGGCUAUCAGAAUGAGCAUUGUGGAGCGGUUCCUUAUGCCAGGCUGCCACGUGAGAUGAUCCAAGACCAAAACAAGGCCCUAGAGUCUAGACUGCAGUAAAACCCAAUACUCAAGUAGGACAGAAGGUGGAAGGCUCAUAUGGAUAAAAGGCCCAAAGUAGAAGACAGAUGGUUUGAGACUUGAGACCCGAGGACUAAGAUGGAAAGCCCAUGUUCCAAGAUAGAUAGAAGCCUCAGGCCUGAAACGAACAAAAGCCUCUAGAGCCAAGAAAACAGAGGGUGGUCUGAAUUGGACAGAAGGCCUGAGUUGGAUGGAAGUCUCAAGUCUUGAGUUCGAAGUCUUAAGACCUGGGACAGGACACAUGGAAGGCCUAAGAACUGAGACUUGUGACACAAGGCCAAAGACCUAAGAUUAGCCCGAGGUUGUAGUUGGAAGACCUACAACCCAAGGAUGGAAGGCCUCUGUCACAAAGCCUACCUAUAUGGAUAGAGGACCCAAGUGAAACAGAGAUCUCAAGACUAAAGGCUGGAAUCUGGAGGUCCAUGACCUAGAACCCAGGAAGGAUGGAAGCUUGAAGACCUGGGGAAAUCCCAAGAUGAGAACCCUAAACCCCACCUCUUUUCUAUUGUUUACACUUCUUACUCUUAUAUAUUUCCAGUUCUCCUGUUUCUCUUUAAGCCUGAUUCUUUUGAGAUGUACUUUUUGAUGUUGCCAGUUACCUUAAAGGAACAUAUCUUUAGAUUGACAGUAUUAUGCCUGGGCCAGUCUUGAGCCAGCUUUAAAUCACAGCUUUUACCUAUUUGUUAGGCUUUAGUGUUUUGUAAACUUCUGUUUCUAUUCACAUCUACUCCACUUGAGAGAGACACCAGAAUCCAGUCAGUAUCUAAUCUGGAUUUUGUUAUUCCCCUCAGGAGCAAACAUUCAUAUAGGUGAUACUGUAUUUCAGUCCUCUCUUUUAACCCCAGAAUCCCUAGACUGAGAAGAUAAAAUGGUCAGGUUGUUGGGGGAAAAAAAGUGCCAGGCCCUCUAGAGAAAAAUGUGAAGAGAUGCUGCAGGCCAGUGAGAAGAAUUAGACAAGAAAUACACAGAUGUGCCAGACUUCUGAGAAGCACCUGCCAGCAACAGCUUCAUUCUUUGAGCUUAGGUGAGCAGGAUUCUGGGGUUUGGGAUUUCUAGUGAUGGUUAUGGAAAGGGUGACAGGGCCUGGGACAAAGUGAGUUCCCAAGGGGACAGCCUGAACUCCCUGCUCAUAGUAGUGGCCAAAUAAUUUGGUGGACUGUGCCAACCCUACUCCUGGGUUUAAUACCCAUCUCUAGGCUUAAAGACGAGAGAACCUGGGACUAUUGAGCACAUUUAAUACUUUCCUUGAUUUUUUUCCUUCCUGUUUAUGUGGGAAGUUGAUUUAAAUGAUUGAUAAUGUAUAUGAAAGCACUGUAAAACGUAAGAGAAAAACCAAGGCGUGCUCCUUAAUAGUGCAUUGGCAAUCAUGCAUAGUAAACAUUUGAAAGUGCAUUGUAAAUUGUGAAGCAUUAUGUAAAUCGGGGUCCACAGUUUUUCUGUAAGGGGUCAAAAUCAUAAAUACUUUAGACUGUGGGCCAUACGGUUUCUGUUACAUAUUUGUUUUUUAAACAACCUUUUUAUAAGGUCAAAAUCAUAGUUUUUGAGCCAAUUGGAUUUGGCCUGCUGUUCAUAGCUUACCACCCCCUGAUGUAUUAUUCGUUAUUCAGAGAAAAUGUCUGAAUACUACUAAUUUCCUUUUCUGUGCCUGUCCCUGUGCUAGGCACUCAAAAUGCAACGAUGAUUCACAUGUAGGUGACCUGAAGAAAAAUAGUGAAUGUGCUUUGUAAACUAUAAAGCACUUGUAUUCUACUGUGAUAAACAUUGUGGAUACAAAGAAAGGAGCAAGCAUAAAAAAGUGCUCUUUCAAAAGGAUAUAGUACUAUGCAGACACAAAGAAUUGUUUGAUAAAUGAAUAAAUUAUAUGUGUAUUUGAGGCCAAUUUGUGUUUGCUGCUCUGGUAAUUUUGAGUAAAAAUGCAGUAUUCCAGGUAUCAGAAACGAAAACACAUGGAAACUGCUUUUAAACUUUAAAGUAUACUGAAUACAUAAGGGACUCAGCUUAUUGUGGUCACUUAUAAUGUACCAGAUACCAUGCUGGGCACUAGAACUACCAAAGGGGAAAGAAAUACUCUCAUAGAACAAAAAAUUUCAGAAAGGUGCAUAUUAAAGUGCUUUGUAAACUAAAGCACAAUACAAAUGUCAAUGGGCUACAUAUUUAUGAAUGAAUGAAUGAAUGAAUGAAUGAAAUUAACUGCCUCUUACAUACCAGCUAUUGUUUUGGGUACUGUGAAAUACAAGAUUAAUUCUCCUAUAAUAAGAGGAAAGUUUAUCCUCUAGACUAUUCAGAUGUAAGGAAUGAGAUAUUGCUUAAUUUUAAACAAUCAAGACUUUACUGGUGACGUUAAGUUAAAUUACUACCGGUACAUUUUCCUGGGUAACCGGGAAGGAGAUAGUAUAGGAAAUGAAGUAAUGGAAGUGAGGUCCAGAUCAAAAGUCACUUAAUUAAGUUUGCGAAUGUGCUUUCUAAAUUAUAAAGCACUUGUAAAUGUGAAAAAUUUGAUGCUUUCUAUAUGAAUAAAACUUUCUGUAAGAUAGGUACUGUCUCUACAAAAUUCUCAUUGUAUACUUAAACCACAAUGAGAAGGGUUCUAUACGUAGUUAUACAAACCAAGGGUUUAAAUACCUGUUAAAUGGAUCAAUUUUGAUUGCCUACUAUGUGAACUCAUUGUUAAAGGCACUGAAAAUUUAUCAUAUUUCAUUUACCCACAGCCAAAAAUAAGGCAAUACCUAUGUUAGCAUUUUGUGAACUCUAAGGCACCAUAUAAAUGUAACUGUUGAUUUUCUUACUUGGUGCUGAGAACUAGGUUUAUACAAUUGUAUGAUAGUUAUUAUAUUGUGCAAAUGAAGUAGGAAAAUUUGAGUAACAAUGAUUAACUUUUGAAUACGCAUAUGCAAGGGAUUGGUUGUCUGAAGAAUGCCACUAUAGUAGUUAUCUAUUGUGUGCCAAUCUCAUUGCUAGGCAUUGGGGAUGCAAAGAUAAACCAUCUUUAUUGUGUCCUGGGUAGCAGAAGAAAAUAUGUGUAAAAUCAAUUUAUAAUUUCUAAACUGCCACCCAUAUAUAAGCAGUAUCUGCUGAAUGAUCAUUGAUUACUCAUAUCCUUAGAGAUAACAACUGGGGGCACAAAUAUUUAUUAUCAUUAUUGAACCUACAACAGAGACCUUUGUGUAGAUUUACAAAGCCUACAGUUCUAUACAAAUAGGAAUGAACUAUUGGCUUACUGAAUGGUGAUUACGUUCUGAUUUACCAAGCCUACAGUUCUAUACAGAUAGGAAUGAACUAUUGGCUUACUGAAUGGUGAUUACUUUCUGUGGGGCUCGGAACUACAUGCCCUAGGAUAUAAAAAAAUGAUGUCAUCAUUAUAGAGUGCUCACAGAAGGAAAUGAAGUAAAAGGUGUGAGAUCCAGACCGAAAGUCACUUAACAAGUUUAUUCAAUGAUGAAAACAUGGGACAAAUGGACUAGUAUAAGGCAGUGUACUAAGCUAAGUAGAGAGAGAAAGUCCUGUCCAGAAGAUAUGUGCUCCCUGGCCUGAUUGAAGAGACGGAAAAUUUUUGCAAAAAACAAGGUGUUGUGGUCUUCCAUACAGUUUCUUAAGUGCUGAUGAUAGACGUGAAUUAGACCCACCUUGGUCUGGCUUACAGACAGUAAAGGAGUAAAUAAAUACAGACAGUAAAUAAAUACCUCAGGUUUACAGACAGUAAAUUUACAGACAGUAAAUAAAUGCCUCAGGUUUGCUUUUUGAUUCAUUUGAUAAACAAAGCAUCUUUUAUGUGGAAUGUACCAUUCUGGGUCCUGAGGAUGAGAGAGGUGAGGGCAUUAGACCAUUGACAGCUGAAGAUAGAAGAACAUCUUUAGUUUGAUUGUGUAAAUAAUAUUUCAGUGCCUAUUCUCUGCAAGGUACUAUGCUUGGUAAAUUAGUAAAUUAAAUAGGUCUGGUCCAGAAGACACACUCAAUUGCCUUUGAGAUUUAAAAAUAAAGAAAAAAGAAAGAAAAAGGCAAGUUUCUUUCAAAAUAGAGACAUUUUUCCUAGUUUCAGGAAUCCCCCAAAUCACUUGCUCAUUGGCUUAGUUUGAAGCCAGGAGACUGAUAAAAGGGCUCAGGGUUUGUUCUUUAAUUUAUUAAGCAAACAUUCUGCUUUUAUUACAGUUACAUGGUUCAAGAUGAAACAACUAGUUUUAAAGGUAUUUGCUCAUUGGUCUGGCUUAGAGACAGGAAGACAUUUGAGCAAUACAAAAAAUUCUUUCCCAUUUACCAUAUUUAGUAAAAAUUUAUUAAAACUGAAUAAAGUGCUGUUCUUAAGUGCUUGAAAGACCUAAACCAAAGUGCACUUUAUCUCAUUUAUCUUGUGGUGGAAACACAGGAACACAUUCUCUAAGAGACUGUGUUUCUUUAGUUGAGAGGAAACUUCAUUGAGUAGCUGUGAUAUGUUCGAUACUAAGGAAAAACUAAAUAGAUCACCUUUGACAUGCUCUGUCGAGUGGGAAGAGAGGGCUUUUUAUUUUUUCAUUCAUAUGAAUAUUGAUGAAGAUGAUACUAAAUGCUAAAUGAAAUAUAUCUGCUCCAAAAGUCAUUUAUUUUGACUUGGAGAUGCAACAAAAACACAAUAAAUGGAAUGAAGUGAUACUCUUCAUCAAACAGAAGUGACUGUUAUAUCAACCAUUGUGUUAAAUCCUAGACAGAAAACAAAAAAGAUCAUGACUAAAAGACACUUGCUUAUUAAUUGGCUUGGAAAGUAGAAUAUAGGAGAAAGGUUACGGUUUUUUUUUUUUUUUUCAUGUAUUCAUUCAUUCUACAAAUAUAUUUGGGUGCCAAUAGGUACUUGGUAUAAGGUUUUUGGCCCCAGAGACAUGGGAAAAAAAAUGCAUGCCUUCCCAGAGAAUGCCUAAUACUUUCCUUUUGGCUUGUUUUCUUGUUAGGGGCAUGGCUUAGUCCCUAAAUAACAUUGUGUGGUUUACUUCCUACUCCAUAUCUCUUCUACCACUCUGGCCACUACAAUAAGCAGGUAGCUGGGUUUUGUAGUGAGCUUGCUCCUUUAAGUUGCAGGAACUCUCCUUAUAAUAGACACUUCAUUUUCCUAGCCCAUCCCUCAUGAAAAAUGACUGACCACUGCUGGGCAGCAGGAGGGAUGAUGACUAAUUCCCAAAUCCCAGUCUCAUUGGUACCAGCCUUGGGGAACCACCCAUACUUGAGCCACAAUUGGUUUUGAAGUGCAUUUACAAGAUUUGUCUAUUUUCAGUUAUUUACUUUUUACGUGCUGACACAUACAUACACUGCCUAAAUAGAUCUCUUUCAGAAACAAUCCUCAGCUAACGCAUAGCAAAAUGGAGAUGGAGACAUGAUUUCUCAUGCAACAGCUUCUCAGUUUAUACCUUAGAAAUGUCCUCCUUUUUAUCAAAUCUACUCAAGAGGGGCUUUUUAUAGUAGAACAAUAUCAGUGGAUGAAAACAGCUUAACAUUUUACCUUGCUUAAGUUUUAAGAAUAAAAUAAAAAUUGGAAACAAUUGGCCAAAAUUGAAAGGAAAUUUUUUUUUUUUUUUAAAUUUCUCUAAAUGUAGGCCUGGCUGGGCUUUGACCUUUUCCAUUUUAAAUCACUCACAGAGGGUGGGACAGGAGGAAGAGUGAAGGAAAAGGUCAAACCUGUUUUAAGGGCAGCCUGCCUUUGUUCUGAAUUGGCCUUAAGAACAUUACCAGCUUCAGGUCUAAAGUGUUUAGUUUCAUGCAGUUCCAAUAACUGAUCAUUGUUGAGAUGAGGACAAAAUCCUUUGUCCUCACUAGUUUGCUUUAUAUUUUUGAAAAGUAAUUAUUUUUGUCCAAGUGCUUAUCAACUAAACCUUGUGUUAGGUAAGAAUGGAAUUUAUUAAGUGAAUCAGUGUGACCCCUCUUGUCAUAAGAUUAUCUUAAAGCUGAAGCCAAAAUAUGCUUCAAAAGAAGAGGACUUUAUUGUUCAUUGUAGUUCAUACAUACUUUCAAAGCAUCUAAACUGUAGUUUCCAUGGCAAGUCAAUUACAUCCAUAAGUGGAGAAGGAAAUAGAUAAAUGUCAAAGUAUGAUUGGUUGAGGGAGCAAGGUUGAAGAUAAUCUGGGGUUGAAAUUUUCUAGCUUUCAUUCUGUACAUUUUUAGUUAGACAUCAGAUUUGAAAUAUUAAUGUUUGUCUUUUAAUGUGUGGUAUCAGCUGGACUCAGUAACACCCCUUUCUUCAGGUGGGGAUGGGGAAUGCAUUAUUGGAAAAUGGAAAGAAGAAAGUAACUAAAAGCCUUCCUUUCACAGUUUCUGGCAUCACUACCACUACUGAUUAAACAAGAAUAAGAGAACAUUUUAUCAUCAUCUGCUUUAUUCACAUAAAUGAACUGAUGAAUAAAUCUGCUUUUAUGCAGACACAAGGAAUUAAGUGGCUUCGUCAUUGCCCUUCUACCUCAAAGAGAGUUUAUCCCAAAAUGCUAAGAUAAAUGGAAGACUCUUGAACUUGUGAACUGAUGUGAAAUGCAGAAUCUCUUUUGAGUCUUUGCUGUUUUGAAGAUUGAAAAAUAUUGUUCAGCAUGGGUGACCACCAAAAAGUAAUCUUAAGCCAUCUAGAUGUCACAAUUGAAACAAACUGGGGAGUUGGGUUGCUAUUGUAAAAUAAAAUAUACUGCUUUGAAAA